ensembl:lncRNA
GCUGUCCCAAGAUGACCCCAUAAAGCACACUGUGCUGUUUGGAUAACCACUGCAGGGAGCUGUGUGCACAGCAGCUGGCUUGGAGAGUAGACUGGGGUUUACAAACUCUUCACACCUGGCUCAGGCUGAGGAAGGCUGUGUUUUUGUAUAACAGAACUCCAUUUACCAGCUUGCAAAUAAAUUCUCUCAUUCCUGUGCGUAGCCCCUUCCUCCAAAUGUAUUCAGAAUCCAGCCCAUAUGUGCAGAACCCAAAACCAAUAUUUUGUCUCUAAUAACAAGCAGCAAGUGAAGAUUUGGCCCUAAACAAGAAAACCCAACUAUAAGCAGGCUGGAGACCCAUUUCCCUUCAUCCCAUUGUAUCAGGUUUUGAGAGCAUCAUUUUUAUAAGUGAAGUCAAGAAAAGUCAUAGAUGACUCUGAAAAUCACAUGUGGUACCACUCAUGUUGAACACUUAAACUGAAGAAAGAAAAAUCUCUUUUGAAAUUUUGAAAAAAAAAAUGUUUAAUGAAACAUGUUUUAAUUUACUCUCCUGUGAAAGAUAUAUUCUACCCAGAUCAAAGACAUUAUGAAACUUAAAGUCAUAAGUAUAUAAAUGCA